rnacentral:sRNA from 2 species
AGACCUCGAUACUAAACAACACUUUCAUUGCUUGAAAAAUGGCAAAUCAUUCAUUUUAAACAGGAAACGCCGCCCCAUCACCCCUCAUAUCACUUCCAGCGCUAUAAACCCGCUUCUGCUCGUCAUAAUGGCACCGGAUGACCUGGCCCCGCCCAAACAUCCCACGCUUGAACCCUUUCAACACUUCGACAUUAUGUCCCAAUUUCUUCAGCUCUUCUACCACCGACUCCUUGAUCCCUUCUUCUAAAUAUACCACAUGUCUCAAUGGCUUGCCCCGCUCCGGCAUCCCCGCUCCAAUGCAGAUACGGGGAGCAUCCAGCGCCGUCUGCGGGGUUUGGUCAAACGCAAGCAUGUUCAUCAGCACCUGCACAUGGCCCUGCGGCUGCAUGAAGCCGCCCAUCACUCCAUACACUGUGUGAAGGGAGUUAUCUGAUGUAUUGGUGACCAUGGCUGGGAUGAUGGUAUGGUAGGGGCGCUUACGGGGCGCGAGGACGUUGGGAUGGCCUGGUGUCAGCGAGAAGUUUGCCCCGCGGUUCUGCAGCGUGAAGCCACAGCCUUGCGGGAUGAUGCAGGUGCCGAAGCCGCCGUAGUUGCUGUUGAUGAAGGACAUGCCGUUGCCUUCCUGGUCUGUCACGGCGAAGUAGACCGUGUCGCAGUGGUUGUGAGCGGGGCUGCCGUGGUCGAUGACGUCACAAGCCUUAUCCGGAUCGAAGAGCUCUGCGCGUUUGGCGAGGUAAGCGCGGGAAAUUAAUUCCUCGGACGGGACGUUUUCGACAUCUGGAUCCGUCACCCACCAGCUUGCGUCGGCAAAAGCGAUUCGUAGGCUUUCGAUGACGGCGUGGAGGUAGACGCUGGAGUUGUGUUGUUCGGCCGCGAAGUGGGGGAUCUUGCCGGUUCUGGACAGUUCUUCCAAGAUACCCAAUGCCAUUAAAGCAACGAUACCUUGGCCAUUGGGGGGGUGCUCCCAGAUUUCUAUUUCGCCUUUGCCAUCACGCUUGAUUCCGCCAAUGUCGGUUGGGUUGAGCUUUAAAGAAAUUGCGUCUACAUCUUGACUGCCUGUUUCCAUGUGAUAUUUCAAAUCGUCAAGUGAAAGACGGCCACCGAGAUCUUGGACCACCUUGAUAAUUGCUUCCCCAAUACGGCCUUGAUAGAAGCCCUUUUUGCCUUCCUUUGCCAGUGUUCGAAAGGUUUGGGCAAGAGUGGGGUUCUUGAAUAUUUCCCCCGCCUGUGGACAUCUCACUCCAUCCUUCCCACUGGGGCUGGGUUUCAGCAUCUCUCUAAAGUUUGGUGAUGCGUCACGGAUGAGCUUUUCGCUUUCUGCCCACUAUAUUGUUGGUUGGCUCAUUAGCAACGAACAAGUUGGCCAAGGGGCGCGGGGGGCAAUAAAUCAAUCGUAACAGAGGAUAAUGCACAUACAAAUGACGCGGCGAGCUCAGACACAGGAAAUCCCUCCUCUCCCAAUUCGAUGGCUGGUGUCAAAAUCUGUUCCAAUGACAACUUCCCGCUUCCGAAGCGUUCCACGGUGUCGAUCCAUCCGGCAGCUGCACCUGGCGUCGUCACAGCAUGUACGCUGGUCAUCGGAAUUUUGCCCUCCUCGCCAGCAGCAAGACGUAACUCCUUGCGAACAAAAUCCAGAGAAAUAUUGGCCGCUGCGCGGCCCGAGCCAUUGAGGGCAUGCACUUUUUUGGUCCUUGCGUUAUAAAACAAACAGAACAUAUCACCUCCAAUACCUGUUGAAGACGGUUCUGUUAUGUUGAGAGCCGCAGCUAAUCAUGUGCCAAUAGUAUACAUCAGCCAUCGACCUCACUAGCCUGGUAGAUAUAUAAUAAUAUAUAAUAAAAGGGGCAUUCUGCCACCAUAAAUCGCUCACAUACCAACCGCCACAGCGGCAUCCUGCAAUAAUCAUUUAGUUACGAAGUCCACAGAGCAAUUAGAUAGAAAGCAACGAGAUUUGGAAAACCUGAGGAGAGAAGAAAGAGAAUCAAUGGCGCUUACCGCAGCAUUUCCUCCAUCUCUAAGGAUCCUUUGCCCUGCAGCUGCGGCUAGGGGCUGUGUACAGGCAAUGAUGCCUUUCGUGCUGUGAACAACACUUCGUCUACUGGGGAAUGCGCAGAACUUGGGCUCUGGGGCCGAGAAGACGUCACAGGCAUUCAAAGGCAUCUUUACGGGUAUUCGUCAGUUGCCAAAGGACUGAUAGUUGAUAGUGAUCUAGCACGCGCGAGCAACGGGUGCAAAGGUGUGUUGGAUAGGUACUAGUACUUGUAGUAAUGAAGGAGUCAACAGAUUUACAUAUACGAAUGUAUAAUGAAUACAUAUCCAGGCCGAUGAUUCACCGUAUUGCCGGCCGAGAAAUGAAGUUUGGCGAUAAACUGGCUUUGCCGUGGGGCAGAUGUCAAAAUGGACCCCUCCUACAGCCGGAGAUCACAUGACGUUGAAGCGGGC